GCCGGAGGUCACUGCUAUCGGGAUUCGACUAAGCUAUGCGAGACGCGAGUCAUCUGGACUCGUCGAACUGCUCAGUAACACGUAGUUAACUUACCCUCAAGUGGAGGAUAAUCCUGGGAAACUGGGGCUAAUACUCCAUAGUUGUAUUGUGCUGGAAUGCUAUUACAACCAAAGCUCCGGCGCUUGAGGAUAGGACUGCGGCCUAUCAUGGCUGUUGUGAGUGUAAUGUACUCACAAACCUGUAACGGGUAGGGGUCAUGAAAGUGAGAGCCCCGAGAUGCUUUCUGAGACAUGAAAGCAGGUCCUACGGGACGCAGCAAGCGCGCAACCUUUCCAAUGGCUUAACGGUCGAGAAGGGAAUCCUGAGUGAUUAUACUAUGUAUAGUCUUUUGUUUUGUGUAAAAAGCAAGACGAAUAAGAGGUGGGUAAGACGGGUGGCAGCCGCCGCGGUAAUACCCGCGCCUCGAGUGGUGACCACUAUUAUUGGGUUUAAAGCGUCCGUAGCCGGUUUGGCAAGUUCUUGGUGAAAUCCAAUAGCUAACUAUUGGGCUUGCUGAGAAUACUACCAGACUUGAGAUUGGGAGAGGAUAGGGGUAUUCCAUGUGUAGGGGUUAAAUCCUUUAAUCCAUGGAGGACCACCGGUGGCGAAGGCGCCUAUCUGGAACAAGUCUGACGGUGAGGGACGAAAGCGUGGGGAGCAAAUGGGAUUAGAUAUAAAUCUUUCUAAUCCGCUGAUACCAAAGAUGAUUGGAGGGUUUACUAGAAACCCCAGUAGUCCACGCCGUAAACGAUGCCCGCUUGAUGUUGCAAACUUUACGAGAGUUUGCAGUGUCGGAGUGUAAAUGUUAAGCGGGCCACCUGGGGAGUACGGCCGCAAGGCUAAAACUUAAGGGAAUUGGCGGGAGAGCACACAAGGGGUGUGAGCUGCGGUUUAAUUGGAUUCAACGCCGGGAAACUCACGAGGGUUGACAGCAGAAUGAAGGUCAUCCUAACGGGGUUACCAGACAAGCUGAGAGGUGUUGCAUGGCCAUCGUCAGCUCGUACCUUGAGGCGUGCGGUUAAGUCCGUUAACGAGCGAGACCCACGCCACCAUUUGCUAUCAUAUUCUAGGCCUUCAAGGCUGAAGGUAUGAGCACUAUGGUGGGACCGCUGGUGAUAAACCAGAGGAAGGAGUGGGCGACGGUAGGUCAGUAUGGCCCGGAUAUCCUCGGCUACACGCGGCCCGCAAUGGCUAGGACAAAGCGCUGCAACUCCGAAAGGAGAAGCCAAUCGCCCAAACCUAGCCCAAGUUCAGAUUGUGGAUUGUAAUUCAUCCACAUGAAGCUGGAAUCCCUAGUAAGCGAAUGUCAUCAUCGUUCGCUGAAUAUGUCCCCGCUCUUUGCACACACUGCCUGUCAAGCCAUGCGAGUAGAGUUUUGAUGAGGCCAGCUUUAACUGUGUCGAAUCAGGGCUUUGCGAGUGGGGCUAAGUCGUAACAAGGUAGCC
rnacentral:rRNA from 1 species